rnacentral:rRNA from 1 species
GUUGUAUGGUUAAGUGACUAAGCGUACACGGUGGAUGCCUUGGCAGUCAGAGGCGAUGAAGGACGUAUUAACUUGCGAUAAGCCCAGAUUAGGCAGUAAAAGCCACUUGAGUCUGGGAUUUCCGAAUGGGGAAACCCACUAGCAUAAGCUAGUAUCGCUGCGUGAAUACAUAGCGCAGCGAGGCGAACCGGGGGAACUGAAACAUCUAAGUACCCCGAGGAAAAGAAAUCAACCGAGAUUCCGAAAGUAGCGGCGAGCGAAAUUGGACUAGCCCUUAAGCUUUAUAUGCGUUAGACGAACGGUCUGGAAAGUCCGGCGAUACAGGGUGAUAGCCCCGUAGUUGACAACGCACAUUCAGUGAAAUCGAGUAGGGCGGGACACGUGAUAUCCUGUCUGAAUAUGGGGGGACCAUCCUCCAAGGCUAAAUACUACUGACUGACCGAUAGUGAACCAGUACCGUGAGGGAAAGGCGAAAAGAACCCCUGUGAGGGGAGUGAAAUAGAACCUGAAACCGUGUACGUACAAGCAGUAGGAGCACCUUCGUGGUGUGACUGCGUACCUUUUGUAUAAUGGGUCAGCGACUUAUAUUCAGUGGCAAGGUUAACCAUCUAGGGGAGCCGUAGGGAAACCGAGUCUUAACUGGGCGUUCAGUCUCUGGAUAUAGACCCGAAACCAGGUGAUCUAGCCAUGGGCAGGUUGAAGGUUGAGUAACAUCAA